UCCAGACUCCUACGGGAGGCAGCAGUGGGGAAUCUUCCGCAAUGGGCGAAAGCCUGACGGAGCAACGCCGCGUGAUCGAAUGAAGGCCUUCGGGUUGUAAAGAUCUGUUGACAGGGACGAAUAAGCAAUGCGAAUAGUUUUGUGUAUGACGGUACCUGUUUAGAAAGCUCCGGCUAACUACGUGCCAGCAGCCGCGGUAAUACGUAGGGAGCAAGCGUUGUCCGGAAUUACUGGGCGUAAAGGGCGCGUAGGUGGGCGCUUAAGUCAGGUGUGAAAACUCCGGGCUCAACCUGGAGACUGCACUUGAAACUGGGUGUCUUGAGGGCAGGAGAGGAAAGUGGAAUUCCUAGUGUAGCGGUGAAAUGCGUAGAUAUUAGGAGGAACACCAGUGGCGAAGGCGGCCUACUGGGCUUUAACUGACGCUGAGGCACGAAAGCAUGGGUAGCAAACAGGAUUAGAUACCCUUGUA
rnacentral:rRNA from 1 species